rnacentral:lncRNA from 10 species
GAGUACGCCCAUGGGAUUGCUGGAUUAUAUACUAGCACAAUUUUUAGUUCUUUGAAUAACCUCCAAACUUUUCUCCAUAGUAGUUUUAUUAAUUUACCUUCCCACCAACAGUGUAGAAGGGUUUUUUUUUUUUUUUCUUUUUCUCCACAUCCUCAUCAGCAUUUGUUAUUGCCGGAUUUUUAGAUAUAAGCCAUUUUAACUGGGUACCCAGAGAUGCUCUCCACACCACACCACUGCUGCCAGAGAGUGAAGAAGAGGUGGCGUUGGUGAUUAAGGACUUCUUCUAUUUCUUCAGUUCUUCUUUCAGCAAUAUAAAACUAAAACCAGCCUAGAAUGAAAGAUUGUCCUGCUGGCUUUAAAGAAGUUAUCUGCUGUGUUGUUAAAAGGCCUGUGAACACCUGUAAGAGCUGAGAGCAGCCCUCAGCUCACAUUCAAUAAGAAAAUAGGAAUCUCAGUACUACAACCCAAUGAAACUGAAUACUUUCACCAAUCUGAAGGAGCUUAGAAGAGGGCCACAAGCACAGGAAACAUAACCUAACUAACAUACCUUAAUUACAG